CUCGUGCUACUAGCGACGCUCAAAAACCUUUUUUCACGUUGCGCAAUUACUGCUUGCGACGAGUUUUGGAUCGAUCUCGCUGAUGCUACGCUACCUUUGCAGGUUUGGCUGUCUUCGGAUUGGGUUGGUUAGGAUUUCUCUCGUCUCAGAUGUAGAAGGUUUUGCACUCUGCUGUACAGUGGAUCCGCAUGUUCUUCCCUCUUGAUCGCUAUGUGCGUGUUCUGCCUGGGAAAGCCUUCAACCUCGAUCUCCCCCACAUACGUUCGUUAUUUUGAGAGGCAGUUUGUGACCUUAGGGACGCUCGCCAAAUCCAGGCGUCGGUUCGAGAUCGCGCCCAAUGCGCCUUCCGUGUCGGGUCCAUCGCCUUCUUAGGCUUUUCGGAUAGCGACUGAGAAAGCGAAUACAUCUGCCCAUGGCCUUACUAGAAACACGGAGAUUAAGCCCGAAGAUAUUGAGGAGAGUCAUUCUGGUCCGAAGCCGAAGAAUCGAGGUUUGAAGGAUGUCGAUAUAAACUUGACUGGAAUGAGACUCGUAUGCAUCACCUCUGUUGUUGGAACUAGAAUUUAAGUCAUGAACCACUUAACAAUGAAGAGUUUUGUUUGAUUAUAUGUUUAUUUAUUCUUCACUGCAGUUCAGCCUCCCUGUAGUAGGUGAUCUUCGGCGAUUUCAGUUUCAUGGUUAAAAAGCUAUUACUGGUGUGUCUUCUAUUGAAGAUAUUCGAUUAAUGUCGUUGCUCCAUUUGAUGCCGUGAUUUUCUUUUCUGGUUUAGGGUGAACUAGUGUCGACACUCACAGCCUGGGAUCUUGGGGGAUAGAGAUAAUGUCGUUGAUCCUUGAGACGGGUGCAAGGUAAAUAACUUGGUGGGUACUGAACUCUAAGCCUAAACUACGGGAAAAUGUGUUCAUGAGCUUCAACUUCGUUCGGUUCGAUUCUGGCUGAUGA